GCCUAGUUAGCUUGGUUGGUAGCGCGUCUGCCUUGUAAGCGCUAGACUGCGGGUUUGAUUCCCGCCUGGGGCG
rnacentral:tRNA from 1 species